GGGCUCUUAGCGCAGUUGGUAGCGCGUUCGCUUCGCAUGUCGCGAUCUCAAUGCGAAAGGUCGUUGGUUCGAUUCCUACAGAGUCCA